rnacentral:rRNA from 1 species
UACAGAGGUCUCAAGCGUUGUUCGGAUUCAUUGGGCGUAAAGGGUGCGUAGGCGGCGCGGUAAGUCGGGUGUGAAAUCUCGGAGCUUAACUCCGAAACUGCAUUCGAUACUGCCGUGCUUGAGGACUGGAGAGGAGACUGGAAUUUACGGUGUAGCGGUGAAAUGCGUAGAUAUCGUAAGGAAGACCAGUGGCGAAGGCGGGUCUUUGGCCUAUAACUGACGCUGAGGCGCGAAAGCGUGGGGAGCAAACAGG